rnacentral:rRNA from 1 species
UACGUAGGGUGCGAGCGUUUGUCCGGAAUUAUUGGGCGUAAAGAGCUUGUAGGCGGUUUGUCGCGUCUGCUGUGAAAAUCCGGGGCUCAACCCCGGACUUGCAGUGGGUACGGGCAGACUAGAGUGUGGUAGGGGAGACUGGAAUUCCUGGUGUAGCGGUGAAAUGCGCAGAUAUCAGGAGGAACACCGAUGGCGAAGGCAGGUCUCUGGGCAUUAACUGACGCUGAGGAGCGAAAGCAUGGGGGAGCGAACAGG